CCUACGGGUGACAGCAGUAGGGAAUUUUCGUCAAUGGGCGCAAGCCUGAACGAGCAAUGCCGCGUGAACGAUGAAGGUCUUCGGAUCGUAAAGUUCUGUUGAAGGGGAAAAAGAGCGGAGAGAGGAAAUGGUCUCCGAUUGAUAUUACCCUUCGAGGAAGUCACGGCUAACUACGUGCCAGCAGCCGCGGUAAUACGUAGGUGGCGAGCGUUAUCCGGAAUGAUUGGGCGUAAAGGGUGCGUAGGCGGCCUGCUAAGUCUGGAGUGAAAGGUACCGGCUCAACCGGUACAGGCUCUGGAAACUGGCGGGCUAGAGAGCAGGAGAGGUCGGUGGAACUCCAUGUGUAGCGGUAAAAUGCGUAGAUAUAUGGAAGAACACCAGUGGCGAAGGCGGCCGCCUGGCCUGUUACUGACGCUGAGGCACGAAAGCGUGGGGAGCAAAUAGGAUUAGAUACCCGGGUAGUC
rnacentral:rRNA from 1 species